CCGCGCAGGCGCCAUGAAGCCCCCCGGCUCCGCGCAGGCGCCCUGGCGUCCCUGAGGCCUGGGCGGCCUCUGGGCUGAGCCGGGCCCAGGCCAGGCAGGGGCAGUCCCGAGCCGGGCCGGGGCCGGGGUCGGGGCCUCGCCAUGGCCGGGGCCAUCGCGUCCCGCAUGAGCUUCAGCUCCCUGAAGAGGAAGCAGCCCAAGACGUUCACCGUGCGCAUUGUCACUAUGGACGCGGAGAUGGAGUUCAACUGCGAGAUGAAAUGGAAAGGGAAGGACCUGUUUGACCUGGUGUGCCGGACUCUGGGACUACGGGAAACCUGGUUCUUUGGACUGCAGUACACAAUCAAGGACACCGUGGCCUGGCUCAAAAUGGACAAAAAGGUUCUAGAUCAUGAUGUUUCAAAGGAAGAGCCAGUCACCUUUCACUUUCUGGCCAAAUUUUAUCCAGAGAAUGCGGAGGAGGAGCUGGUGCAGGAGAUCACGCAGCAUUUAUUCUUCCUACAGGUGAAGAAACAGAUUCUGGAUGAGAAGAUCUACUGCCCUCCGGAAGCGUCGGUGCUCCUGGCUUCCUAUGCUGUCCAGGCCAAGUAUGGUGACUAUGACCCCUCUGUUCACAAGCGUGGGUUUUUGGCCCAGGAGGAGCUGCUUCCAAAAAGGGUAAUAAAUCUGUAUCAGAUGACACAAGAGAUGUGGGAGGAGAGAAUCACCUCCUGGUAUGCUGAGCAUCGAGGCAGAGCAAGAGAUGAGGCUGAAAUGGAAUAUUUGAAGAUUGCACAGGACUUGGAGAUGUAUGGUGUGAACUACUUUGCAAUUCGGAAUAAAAAGGGCACAGAACUGCUGCUCGGUGUGGACGCUCUGGGCCUCCACAUAUACGACCCUGAGAACAGACUGACCCCCAAAAUCUCCUUCCCUUGGAAUGAAAUCCGGAACAUCUCUUACAGCGACAAAGAGUUUACCAUUAAGCCUCUGGACAAAAAGAUUGACGUCUUUAAGUUUAACUCCUCAAAGCUUCGUGUUAAUAAGCUGAUUCUGCAGCUGUGCAUUGGGAACCAUGACCUCUUUAUGCGAAGAAGGAAGGCCGACUCGUUGGAAGUACAGCAGAUGAAAGCCCAGGCCCGGGAGGAGAAGGCCCGGAAGCAGAUGGAGCGGCAGCGUUUGGCUCGAGAGAAGCAGAUGAGGGAAGAAGCUGAGCGAACACGGGAUGAAUUGGAGAGGAGGCUCUUACAAUUGAAGGAGGAAGCGACUAUGGCCAAUGAAGCUCUGAUGCGGUCUGAGGAGACAGCUGACCUGCUGGCAGAAAAGGCCCAGAUCACAGAGGAAGAGGCAAAGCUCUUGGCUCAGAAGGCGGCUGAGGCCGAGCAGGAGAUGCAGCGGGUCAAGGCCACGGCCAUCAGGACAGAGGAGGAAAAGCGCCUGAUGGAGCAGAAGGUGCUGGAGGCCGAGAUGCUGGCACUGAAGAUGGCUGAGGAGUCAGAGCGGAGAGCAAAGGAGGCCGAUCAGCUGAAGCAGGAUCUGCAAGAGGCCAGAGAGUCCGAGAGAAGAGCCAAGCAGAAGCUCUUAGAGAUCACCACCAAAGCUUCCUACACGCCCCCCGUGAGCUCGAGCACCGCGGCCCUGCCUCCUGACGUGCCCGGCUUCAGUCUCAUUGGCGACAGCCUGUCCUUCGACUUUAAGGACACGGACAUGAAGCGGCUCUCCAUGGAGAUCGAGAAGGAGAAAGUGGAAUACAUGGAGAAGAGCAAACACCUGCAGGAGCAGCUCAAUGAGCUCAAGACAGAGAUCGAAGCCCUCAAGCUGAAGGAGAGGGAGACGGCCUUGGACCUUCUGCACAACGAGAACGCCGACAGGGGAGGCAGCAAGCACAACACCAUCAAAAAGCCUCAAGCCCAGGGCAGAAGACCUAUCUGCAUUUGAGCCUUCCAAGUAGGUUAUUCCAAGGUUAUGAUCUCAUUCCUGUUCAUCGUCAGCACUAGCUCAGUCAUCCCUACUCAUUUUCCGUGGGUCACUGUAGGAAGGAGCUCUGGGCAGAUCUUAUUGGAAAGCUGGUUUUCUCCAAAGACCUCCCUGGAUCCCCACCAGACAAGGCUGCACCAGGAUCAAGUGCGCGUGGGGGGCCCUGAAGCACAUGGCUGAGCCACGUGGCCACCACCUGUCAGGCCAGUGGAUCUGCUCACCUUGCAGAGCACCAAGUCCCGAGUGGCCUUCUUCGAAGAGCUCUAGGAAGCCACCAGCCGUCCAAGGAGUGGCCACUUCUGCCUGGUCAUUCUUGCGAGCCACGGAAGCCAUCCCCGGACGUGCCGCCUAGAUGAUGAGCAGCCCCUGGAACUUGGCCUCCAGCCGAGUGGUGACCCCAACACCAGUGAUGUGCAAUGGCCUGGAAUUGUAGCCCUUCCAAGGAUUUCUGGUGGGGGAUACAAGUUCAGCCCCACGGAUUUAACAAAUAUGCAGUCUCUUUUGUCUCAUGUAUAGUCGUGGGAUCCCACGUGGUCUUCAAAGACACGUGGUAUGUGACUUUUUGCUACCUGCAGUAUCAGCCUGUUCCGCCAAGGGGAGAGGGGAAGCUGAUGUGAGGGAGGGUCAUCCAAGUGGAUGGGAGCGGCGAGGCCCCUGCCUGCCCUCCUUGUCUCGGCUCGUCAAACCUCCCAAAGCACCGGGGGUCAGGAAUGGCUGGGUAUGUGCUGCUGCCCCAAGCCAGGGCUCCCGAAGAGGGGAAGGGCAGGGCCUGGGAAGGAAAUGUCUCGGUGCUGGUGGCGUAGAGGUCCAGAGGAGUGAGGCUGGACAUCUUCCCAGAGUCUGGGCGUGGGCUGAUCACAGCCGUCGGGUUUCAGGCCUCAGACCCUCUGCCCUGAGGACAGGCCUCAGCUGUCAGAAAAACACUACGAUUGCAGCUUCUUCUUUGAGAAGGAGUUGGGCCGAAGCGCGGCCUUGCCCGGGCUGGUCAGGAGCGUCUGCAGUUGGGCCAGCUUCCUCACUGAGGGGAGCGGCUGUCCCAGGGCCCUGCCUCACCCACACAUCCUUUUCCCUUGUCCUUCACUCCCCAUGCUGUGGUUCGCUUAAGACGUGAGGGGCCUCAUCGUUCUUGGGACCUCCUAGUAACCAGCACAGAGGGCCUGGGUCUUUCCAGCGCCCCCUCUGGCUCACAGGUACUCCUCUCCCCUGCUGUCGAUGGCAAACCUUUCUUUGCCUCCGAUUUAUCUUGUAUUCUUCCUUGGCAAGAAAAUUGCUGCCCCGGCUGAUCUCUGCCUUCCACAUCUUGAAACGUGCUCCUUAACCUUGCCUCGUCUACAUGCUUCAUCUUGUUCCCCUGCCCUAAGCCCUUUUUAAGAAACUCCCCAUUGAACAUUUCAGCCUUUUGUAUUCCCUUUCCUCCCCCCACUGUGCCUAGUACAGUGUUCUGCCCCAUACUGGGCGCUCAGUAUGUGCUCUUUGAUUGACUAUUCUAUGCUGAGUUGGUGGCUGAAGAAACAACUCUCCCUUGUACUUGGUUAGGUGCUGCUCCCUUGAGCCACCAGCUGCUGCACCCUGUGUGACCUGGGGGCUUUGCUUCUCGGUCUCUGACAAGCAGUCAGAGGGAGCUGUGGGCUUUGUUCUGUGGCCCCUCCACAGCCUCCGGGCUGCCCUUUGGUGCUCAGGGAGGAGCAGUCUUCACUGCGGGGAGGCCUCCCGUGCUCUCCAUCCCUCAGCCCCUGCCGCCUGGCCCUGUUUCUGUCCUCCUGCUGGCAGGAGGACAGCCUCAGUGACCUCAUGCUUGCUCGUGGCUGUUAGGCAACAAAUGGGGGAUCAGGGGUUCUGCUCCAUCUGUGUGCAGACGGUAUGUCUUGCAGCCGAUAGGAAGGCCUGGCAUCCGGCACCCCUGCUGGCCUGAAGAGCCACCCCCUUCCCCCGCAGCUGCUCUAUAGGACGGGGCAUCAGCUCCAUGGUACCGUGCCAUCCCUGGCUCAGCCACCUCUAUGACCAGUUUGGGGGACAACGGGGAGGUGUCUGAGCUUAGCUGGGGAGUCUCUAACUUUAGAUUUAGCUCCUUGCCUCCAGGGAGGGCUGCACUUAUUUAAUUAGCAGUGAAAGCCAGCAUGAACCUGGCUGGCUGGCUUCAGUGUCUCAUUCUUCCUUCCUCCUCUUCCAAAGAGGUUUGAGAUUUGUGAGUGAGGAUGCCCUGGGUCCCAACAGUUCCUCCCCGCAGGGAGCAGGGUGUGGCCUGGGCAGUGAUGCCAAGCCCUGACUCCAGGGCCCUCCUUUCAGAGCCAGUCUCCUGUUUUCUGUGAACUGCAUCAGAAUCUUACCCAAAUUCUUGCCACAAAUACCAUUGCUCCUCUUUAAAAUUGAAAGAUGUGACCUGGCAGGGGGAGAGAGCUGGCCAUGGAGGCCGGAGGCCAUGGGGGGCAGAGGCGUGGGUGUGAGUACUGGUUCUCUAACUUAACUUCUCGGUGCCCACGCCCUUUUCUCCAUACAGGGGAGAGCCCCGAAUGUCUGUGAAAGCAUAGAUCCAGUCCCCACCCCCACCCCCGAGGCAGUGACCCAGGGCCACAAAAGCAAAUGGGUGAUCUGAAAAAUAGGAAACCUCCAAGCUUCCUUGGUCACAAAGGAUUUAAUGGGCACUCUCUGCUUAUGGGAAGGGAAAGCCACGAAGAGCCAAUUAGUUCAACUCAAGAGCUACCCCUCCUGUCUGCCCCAUGGGGCUCCCCCACCCCCACCCGGGUUGGGGAGUGGAACAGGAAGUAAAUGGACCCUGAGGAGGGGUGGGUCAUUGGCUUCUGGACGCCCGUUCCCCCAGAGCCUGGAGAUGGCUCUGUUGGGUGUUUUUUGUGUUGAUAAAGCGCAUAAGGUGUACCGUGUACCUGAGUUGCUGACAUGCCAUUGGAGAGAAGGGAAGAAACUGCAGAAUCCACAGGGAUUUCGUCGAGGAGCCAGGCAGUGGGGUGUGUGGGUGGCUCCCACCGGCACCCCCCAGAGGCCAUGUUGGUGGUCUCCGUCUACCCUCGCUCCUGCAUCCACCCUGACGCUCUCACCUGAGUUACAUCACAGCACUUAGGAAUACACCAGAGUGUUGUGCUCAGCCCCCAGGGCUCCCCACACCUCCAAGCAGCAGUGCAUGUCAUCUUGCAGGGAGAGGCCCUGCAUCUUCCUUCCUCUCUCUUGAGGCCACUCUGUCUCUGCAUUUCUGUCUCCCCAUCUCCACUCUCUCCAAAGUAAAAGUGCGUCCAGACCUCCUCAGUCCAGCGCUGAGAAAUCAGCCUCAGCUUUGACGAGGGCUCUGAGCUCCUGCCUGGGGAGAAGGAACCCAUUGCUCCCAUCUGUGCCAGGGGCGUCGGCCUCUCUCUCCAGUCUGACUUGGCAGCUCACACCCCCCAGCGUGGACGUCUCGUCCAGCACGCCUUGUGACUGGAGGGGUGGAGCCCCCUCCCCCAUCGGGUGAAAUACUCACAAAUCUGUUUUCUAUUCUGGGGGAUUGUUAUAUUUUAACUGAUUGUUAUAAUAAAAAUUCAAAGCUGUCAAA